GGGGGAUAACUUAUUGGAAACGAUAGCUAAUACCGCAUAAUAGCAGUUAUUGCAUGAUAACUGUUUGAAAGGUGCAAAUGCAUCACUACCAGAUGGACCUGCGUUGUAUUAGCUAGUUGGUGGGGUAACGGCUCACCAAGGCGACGAUACAUAGCCGACCUGAGAGGGUGAUCGGCCACACUGGGACUGAGACACGGCCCAGACUCCUACGGGAGGCAGCAGUAGGGAAUCUUCGGCAAUGGACGGAAGUCUGACCGAGCAACGCCGCGUGAGUGAAGAAGGUUUUCGGAUCGUAAAGCUCUGUUGUAAGAGAAGAACGAGUGUGAGAGUGGAAAGUUCACACUGUGACG
rnacentral:rRNA from 1 species